CAAUAGCAUAUAUUAAAGUUGAUGCAGUUAAAAAGCUCGUAGUUGAAUUCAAUCUUUGAUCUUUAAUACUAGCUUGCUAGUGUUUAAGAUAAAGGUUAAACAUCGUCGUGAGCAUCGAUGACUUUAAUCGGUUGUCGUUUGUGAUCGGCAUGUUUACUUUGAAUAAUUCAAGUUGUUCAAAGAAGUCUAUUGACUAAAUGGUGAUGCAUGGAAUAAUGAAAUAAGACUCCGGUCUUAUUUUGUUGGUUUUAAAGAUCAGAGUAAUGAUUAAAAGGGACUGCCGGAGGCAUACGUAUACCAGGGGGAGAGGUGAAAUUCGUUGAUCCUUGGUAGACGAUCUAUUGCGAAAGCAUUUGCCUAGAAUGUUUUCUUUAAUCAAGAACGAAAGUCAGAGGUU
rnacentral:rRNA from 1 species